rnacentral:rRNA from 1 species
GCAUAACGCGAAGAACCUUACCUGGCCUUGACAUUGAUAGAAUCUGCUAGAGAUAGCGGAGUGCCCUUCGGGGAGCUUGAAAACAGGUGCUGCACGGCUGUCGUCAGCUCGUGUCGUGAGAUGUUGGGUUAAGUCCCGCAACGAGCGCAACCCUCGUCACUAGUUACUAACGGUUCGGCCGAGGACUCUAGUGAGACUGCCUUCGUAAGGAGGAGGAAGGUGAGGACGACGUCAAGUCAUCAUGGCCCUUACGGCCAGGGCGACACACGUGCUACAAUGGGAUGUACAAUGAGACGCAAUACCGCGAGGUGGAGCAAAUCUAUAAAACAUCUCUCAGUUCGGAUUGUAGUCUGCAACUCGACUACAUGAAGCUGGAAUCACUAGUAAUCGUAGAUCAGCCAUGCUACGGUGAAUACGUUCCCCGGGUCUUGUACACACCG